GACGAACGCUGGCGGCGUGCUUAACACAUGCAAGUCGAACGGUGAAGGGGAGCUUGCUCCCCGGAUCAGUGGCGAACGGGUGAGUAACACGUGGGCAACCUGCCCCAGACUUCGGGAUAACGCUUCGAAAGAGGCGCUAAUACCGGAUACGAACCCCCUGGGCAUCCUAGGGGUUGGAAAGUUCUUCGGUCUGGGAUGGGCCCGCGGCCUAUCAGCUAGUUGGUGAGGUAACGGCUCACCAAGGCGACGACGGGUAGCCGGCCUGAGAGGGCGACCGGCCACACUGGGACUGAGACACGGCCCAGACUCCUACGGGAGGCAGCAGUGGGGAAUAUUGCGCAAUGGGCGAAAGCCUGACGCAGCAACGCCGCGUGAGGGAUGACGGCCUUCGGGUUGUAAACCUCUUUCAGCAGGGAAGAAGCGAAAGUGACGGUACCUGCAGAAGAAGCACCGGCUAACUACGUGCCAGCAGCCGCGGUAAAAC
rnacentral:rRNA from 1 species